rnacentral:rRNA from 1 species
GAUGAACGCUAGCGGCAGGCUUAACACAUGCAAGUCGAGGGGCAGCAUUGCUACUUGUAGCAGAUGGCGACCGGCGGACGGGUGCGUAACGCGUAUAGAACCUACCUAUAACAGGGGGAUAGGCUUUAGAAAUGAAGAUUAAUACCCCAUAAUAUUGAGUAUCGGCAUCGUUAUUUAAUUAAAGAUUUAUUGGUUAUAGAUGGCUAUGCGUCCUAUUAGUCAGAUGGUGAGGUAACGGCUCCCCAUAGCUACGAUAGGUAGGGGUUCUGAGAGGGAUUUCCCCCACACUGGUACUGAGACACGGACCAGACUCCUACGGGAGGCAGCA